rnacentral:misc_RNA from 1 species
GAUGAAGAACGUAGCGAAAUGCGAUAAGUAAUGUGAAUUGCAGAAUUCAGUGAAUCAUCGAAUCUUUGAACGCACAUUGCGCCCGCUAGUACUCUAGCGGGCAUGCCUGUUCGAGCGUCAUUUCAACCCUCAAGCCCUGCUUGGUGUUGGGGCCCUACGGCUGCCGUAGGCCCUGAAAGGAAGUGGCGGGCUCGCUACAACUCCGAGCGUAGUAAUUCAUUAUCUCGCUUAGGGUGUUGUGCGGUGCUCCAGCCGUUAAAGACCAUCUUUAACUCAAGGUUGACCUCGGAUCAGGUAGGAAUACCCGCUGAACUUAAGCAUAUCAAUAAGCGGAGGA